GCGGUGCUUGCUGCUGCGGAUGGCGGCUUGCUCCGCCGGGCGACUAGUUCUGGCCUGAUCAGUCGGCGGCCGACAUCCUGUCUGGGGCGGCGUCCCACAGACGGUACCUUCUGUGUGACGUCAACCCUCCAGAGGGCUUCAGCCUCCUUAGGGCCGUCUGUAUCCACAUCGCCUUCUUCCUGAAGACCCUGCUGAAAAUGGAGGAGUCGGUGCUGGUGCUACCCCCUUGGGGCCACCUCUACCAUUGGCAGAGCCUGGACAUCCACCAGGUCCGGAUUCCCUGGUCUGACUUUUUGAUCUCUCAAGUCUCAACAGAAACAUCCCUGACACUGAGUACGAACAGUUCAUUGCAGGUGAGAUGGUGAUCGUUUAACUGGGGCCAGACGGUUGUUGUUCUGGUUCCGAUGUGAACAUCGGGCCGCCUUGCUUCAGGCUUGUCAUUCUGCUUAGGGGCCCUGCUCAUGUUUCCCACACUGCAGGUGAAUUUGGUCUUUCCAUAGUUUUUCUCAGGAAAUAGAUCUGAAGUGUAUGAGCUCUGUGUUCCCUCCCCUCUGAAAACCCUGGCCUCCUGGUGAGAUGGAGUGGUGACAAGGAGGCCACUGCCACAGAGGCCUUGUCCCAGCAGGACUUGCUCCCUGGGCAGUAAGGGCCACUCUUACCUGAAGGAAAACACGAUGUGUGUGUAGCAUGGGCCACGUGCUGGAGAAGGUAUGUAACCUCUCAUUCAGUAUAAUUUGGUCCUGCUCAAGCUUCCCAUUUUACUUUCUGUAAGAGGUAAGGGUUGAAGAUUUUCUUUGAAUAAAGCUAUUUAGAGCUUA